GAGUUUGAUUCUGGCUCAGGAUGAACGCUAGCGAUAGGCUUAACACAUGCAAGUCGAGGGGCAGCAUGAACUUAGCUUGCUAAGUUUGAUGGCGACCGGCGCACGGGUGCGUAACGCGUAUGCAACUUGCCUUACAGAGGGGGAUAACCCGUUGAAAGACGGACUAAUACCGCAUAUACUUAUUCGGUUGCAUGACCGGGCAAGGAAAUAUUUAUAGCUGUAAGAUAGGCAUGCGUCCCAUUAGCUAGUUGGUGAGGUAACGGCUCACCAAGGCAACGAUGGGUAGGGGAACUGAGAGGUUUAUCCCCCACACUGGUACUGAGACACGGACCAGACUCCUACGGGAGGCAGCAGUGAGGAAUAUUGGUCAAUGGGCGAGAGCCUGAACCAGCCAAGUCGCGUGAAGGAAGACUGUCCUAAGGAUUGUAAACUUCUUUUAUACGGGAAUAAACGGGCGAUA
rnacentral:rRNA from 1 species